UGGGGAAUCUUGCGCAAUGGGCGAAAGCCUGACGCAGCGACGCCGCGUGAGUGAUGAAGGCCUUCGGGUUGUAAAGCUCUGUGGGGAGAGACGAAUAAGUGCAAGCUAAUACCUUGCAUGAUGACGGUAUCUCCUUAGCAAGCACCGGCUAACUCUGUGCCAGCAGCCGCGGUAAGACAGAGGGUGCAAACGUUGUUCGGAAUUACUGGGCGUAAAGCGAGUGUAGGCGGUUUCCUAAGUCAGGUGUGAAAGCCCCGGGCUCAACCCGGGAAGGGCACCUGAAACUGGGAGGCUAGAGUACUGGCGAGGUUGGUGGAAUUCUCGGUGUAGAGGUGAAAUUCGUAGAUAUCGAGAGGAACACCGGUGGCGAAGGCGGCCAACUGGACAGAUACUGACGCUGAGACUCGAAAGCG
rnacentral:rRNA from 1 species